rnacentral:rRNA from 1 species
GGUAGUCCACGCCGUAAACGAUGUCGACUUGGAGGUUGUGCCCUUGAGGCGUGGCUUCCGGAGCUAACGCGUUAAGUCGACCGCCUGGGGAGUACGGCCGCAAGGUUAAAACUCAAAUGAAUUGACGGGGGCCCGCACAAGCGGUGGAGCAUGUGGUUUAAUUCGAUGCAACGCGAAGAACCUUACCUACUCUUGACAUCCAGAGAACUUAGCAGAGAUGCUUUGGUGCCUUCGGGAACUCUGAGACAGGUGCUGCAUGGCUGUCGUCAGCUCGUGUUGUGAAAUGUUGGGUUAAAUCCCGCAACGAGCGCAACCCUUAUCCUUUGUUGCCAGCGGUUAGGCCGGGAACUCAAAGGAGACUGCCAGUGAUAAACUGGAGGAAGGUGGGGAUGACGUCAAGUCAUCAUGGCCCUUACGAGUAGGGCUACACACGUGCUACAAUGGCGCAUACAAAGAGAAGCGACCUCGCGAGAGCAAGCGGACCUCAUAAAGUGCGUCGUAGUCCGGAUUGGAGUCUGCAACUCGACUCCAUGAAGUCGGAAUCGCUAGUAAUCGUAGAUCAGAAUGCUACGGUGAAUACGUUCCCGGGCCUUGUACACACCGCCCGUCACACCAUGGGAGUGGGUUGCAAAAGAAGUAGGUAGCUUAACCUUCGGGAGGGCGCUUACCACUUUGUGAUUCAUGACUGGGGUGAAGUCGUAACAAGGUAACCGUAGGGGAACCUGC